UACGUAGGGUGCGAGCGUUAAUCGGAAUUACUGGGCGUAAAGCGUGCGCAGGCGGUUUUGUAAGCCAGAUGUGAAAUCCCCGGGCUUAACCUGGGAAUGGCAUUUGGGACUGCAAGGCUCGAGUGCGGCAGAGGAGACUGGAAUUCCUGGUGUAGCAGUGAAAUGCGUAGAUAUCAGGAAGAACACCAAUGGCGAAGGCAGCUCUCUGGGACGGUACUGACGCUGAGACGCGAAAGCGUGGGGAGCGAACAGG
rnacentral:rRNA from 1 species